rnacentral:rRNA from 1 species
UACGGGGGAUGCGAGCGUUAUCCGGAUUUAUUGGGUUUAAAGGGUGCGUAGGCGGCGCUUCAGGUCAGCGGUGAAAGCCCGGGCCUCAACCCUGGGACUGCUCUGGAAACUGUAAAGCUGGAGUGCGGGAGGGGCAGGCGGAAUUCCUGGUGUAGCGGUGAAAUGCGUAGAUAUCAGGAGGAACACCGGCGGCGAAGGCGGCCUGCUGGACCGUAACUGACGUUGAGGCUCGAAAGCGUGGGGAGCAAACAGG